GCUGACAGCUGUAAUUGCUGCAGGUUAUAAAAAUAUCUAUAGGACAAUGCCUUUCAAGCUCUCAGGCACACACAUACACACUCACACACACUAAAUGAAAGAAAACAAUCAUAUUCCCUUUAAUAAUCCUGGGACUGCAAAGGAGGGGGCACGGAGGAGCUUGCCGUGUGGACUGGAGGGCUGGCAGGCAGGUGAGAACGUGGAGGAGAUGAAGACUCCUAGCAGUGGCAGCAUCUCCACACGAAAGAAGGGAUGGAGAAGGGAGCAUUUGCCAAUGGAAGGGAAAUUGGCUGUUUUUGUUUUUCCCUGUGUUACCUACAGCAAGCUGGGGUUGGUUGAAGAGCCGUGAAUUCUCCAUAUACACGAGAGACCGAAAGAAGAGCUCUCGCCUGAGACGUGCCAGUGCUGCUGCUGCCUUCUCUAAAAAGGCGAAAGGCCCCCCUCUCCUGGUGGAGAUUCCAAAUAGGAGCUCAGGCGAGAAGAGGCUGCUUGCAGGAUGGUUGGUGGUGCCAAAUGGACGUCAGGGUGUUUAAUCAGGAGGGGCGGGGGUCCAGCUGGAUCAGUGAUGGCUCUAGGGGAGUGGGGAAGGGCUGGGCUCGGGAAGAAUGCGUGCUCUUCUGUCCUGCAGAGGAUCAAAAAAUCAUUGUUCGUCCGGGCUAGAGUCUGGUGUGUGAGGAUUUCAGAGGGAAGAGCCAAAGCUUCAGGAAGGGAAAGAAGCAUCGGAGGAAAAGAAAGCAGUCAUGAAUGGAGAGAACUGAGGAGGAAGAGAACAAGGGCAAAGCCAGGAGCAACUGUAGAAGACAGAAUCUGUCAUGAGACAAGAAUUUGCUCAAUAACAUAUGGGUUCAAUUGUGCUUCUUACGGGGCAUGGCAUUUUGUAAACAUCAUUUUGUAUCUGGAUCCAAGUCUUAACUCUGGCCAACAUUAAACAAGUCCCUUGUUUGUUUGUUUGUCUGUUUGUUUUUUAGCUUCUUUGUUUUCAGAAAAACUAACAUCUCCAUGAAAUGUAGGUCUUUGAGAAGACCUAGUGCCAACCAAUGCAUUCAAAUGGGCUAAUGCCUUUUUGAAAGCUGAAAGCACUGUUCUACAGUAAGAUAAUGGAUGGUAUCAUCGACUCAAUGGGCAUGAGUUUAAGCAAAUUCAGAGAGAUAGUGAAAGAGAGGGAAGUCUGACAUGCUGCAUCCAUGGGCUUGCAAAGAGUAGGACACAACUUAGCUACUGAACAGCACCAGUAGGGUGAUAGCUCACAGAAGGCUGGGGUCAAGGGUAAAGCAUUUGC
rnacentral:lncRNA from 1 species